UCGCUCAUGGACGUCAGCAAUGCCAGG
rnacentral:piRNA from 1 species